GACGAACGCUGGCGGCGUGCUUAACACAUGCAAGUCGAACGGAAAGGCCCUGCUUUUGUGGGGUGCUCGAGUGGCGAACGGGUGAGUAACACGUGAGUAACCUGCCCUUGACUUUGGGAUAACUUCAGGAAACUGGGGCUAAUACCGGAUAGGAGCUCCUGCUGCAUGGUGGGGGUUGGAAAGUUUCGGCGGUUGGGGAUGGACUCGCGGCUUAUCAGCUUGUUGGUGGGGUAGUGGCUUACCAAGGCUUUGACGGGUAGCCGGCCUGAGAGGGUGACCGGCCACAUUGGGAAUGAGAUACGGCCCAGACUCCUACGGGAGGCAGCAGUGGGGAAUAUUGCAAAAAGGGCGGAAGCCUGAUGCAGCAACGACGCGUGAGGGAUGACGGCCUUCGGGUUGUAAACCGCUUUCGCCUGUGACGAAGCGUGAGUGACGGUAAUGGGUAAAGAAGCACCGGCUAACUACGUG
rnacentral:rRNA from 1 species